rnacentral:rRNA from 1 species
GAUUAACGCUGGCGGCGUGCAUAACACAUGCAAGUCGAACGAUGAAACUUAACUGAUUUCUUCGGAAUGAUUUUAAGUGGAUUAGUGGCGGACGGGUGAGUAACGCGUGAGUAACCUGCCUUGGAGAAGGGGAUAGCCUUUGGAAACGAAGAAUAAUACCCUACGAUAUGAUAAUAUCUCAUGAUAUUAUCAUCAAAGAUUUAUCGCUCUAAGAUGGACUUGCGUCUGAUUAGUUAGUUGGUGAGGUAACAGCUCACCAAGGCAGCGAUCAGUAGCCGGCUUGAGAGAGUGUACGGCCACAUUGGGACUGAGACACGGCCCAGACUCCUACGGGAGGCAGCAGUGGGGAAUUUUGCACAAUGGGGGAAACCCUGAUGCAGCGACGCCGCGUGAUUUAGAAGGCCUUCGGGUUGUAAAAAUCUUUUGUAUGGGAAGAAAAUGACAGUACCAUACGAAUAAGGACCGGCUAAUUACGUG